UACGGAGGGUGCGAGCGUUGUCCGGAAUUAUUGGGCGUAAAGAGCGUGUAGGCGGCUAGGUAGGUCCGUUGUGAAAACUCGGGGCUCAACCUCGAGACGCCGAUGGAAACCAUCUAGCUAGAGUCCGGAAGAGGAGAGUGGAAUUCCUGGUGUAGCGGUGAAAUGCGCAGAGAUCGGGAGGAACACCCGUAGCGAAGGCGGCACUCUGGGCCGGUACUGACGCUGAGGAGCGAAAGCGUGGGGAGCAAACAGG
rnacentral:rRNA from 1 species